rnacentral:rRNA from 1 species
CAGCACCUCAAGUGGUCAGGAUGAUUAUUGGGCCUAAAGCAUCCGUAGCCGGCUCUGUAAGUUUUCGGUUAAAUCUGUACGCUCAACGUACAGGCUGCCGGGAAUACUGCAGAGCUAGGGAGUGGGAGAGGUAGACGGUACUCGGUAGGAAGGGGUAAAAUCCUUUGAUCUAUUGAUGACCACCUGUGGCGAAGGCGGUCUACCAGAACACGUUCGACGGUGAGGGAUGAAAGCUGGGGGAGCAAACCGGAUUAGAUACCCGGGUAGUCCCAGCUGUAAACGAUGCAGACUCGAUGAUGCAUUGGCAUAUAGCCAGUGCAGUGUCGCAGGGAAGCCGUUAAGUCUGCCGCCUGGGAAGUACGUACGCAAGUAUGAAACUUAAAGGAAUUGGCGGGGGAGCACCACAAGGGGUGAAGCUGCGGUUCAAUUGGAGUCAACGCCAGAAAUCUUACCCGGAGAGGCAGCAGAAUGAAGGUCAAGCUGAAGACUUUACCAGACAAGCUGAGAGGUGGUGCAUGGCCGUCGCCAGCUCGUGCCGUGAGAUGUCCUGUUAAGUCAGGUAACGAGCGAGAUCCUCGCCACUAGUUGCUAUCAUUAUUCUCAGGAAUAGUGGGGCGAAUUAGUGGGACUGCCGUUGUUAAAACGGAGGAAGGAGGGGGCUACGGCAGGUCAGUAUGCCCCGAAACUCUGGGGCCACACGCGGGCUGCAAUGGUAGCGACAAUGAGCUCCAAACUCGAAAGAGAGUGGCAAUCUCUAAACGCUACCACAGUUAUGACUGAGGGCUGUAACUCGCCCUCACGAAUAUGGAAUCCCUAGUAACCGCGUGUCAUUACCGCGCGGUGAAUACGUCCCUGCUCCUU